AUCCUGUCACUAAGCGCACAAUACAGACAGACGCCCCCGGGGAACGUCUCACCUGUUAGAGAAGACGGGCUAACAUGCCGCGUCCCCAGCAGCCCACAAGUGGACUCCGUUUAAGAGGCGACAGAGGUCAGCUGUGGCCUCCCACUGCUAAAGAGAUGUUGGGGGACUGAGAAUUCACUCUUCGAGCCCAGCCCUUUGGCUUCCCCAGGUGUGCCUGCUCCGCCAACUCAGCCCGCGCUUCCUCAACGGUCCCCCCAACUCCCGAAGUCACGCCAGCUGGGGUCCAGCUCAGCAAGACCCCAAACUGCAGGUCCCCAGACUUCUCGGUUGUCACGGAGACGGAUCCCGCCCCUCCCACCCAGCCUCAGGGUUCCCCCGGCGGGGCUGGGCCCCCCCCAGCCCCCACUCACCCUGCGCCGUAGGCGGACACAGCAGCAGCAGCAGCGGCAGCAGCAGCAGCGGCGGGGCGCUGAGCCCGCCGAGGAGGCACAUGGCGCGCGGGGACCGGGACCGGAGUUAAGUGGAAGCUCGCUCCAGCAAGCAGCGGUAAGUAGCAGCAGCGCCUAGCUGUACCGCCAGGCGGGUUAAAUUAGCGCCUGGGCGGGGCUGGGGCUGUGAAUCACAAAGGGUGGGGCGAGGAGACUGGCGGGGGAGAGUGUGCCGGCACCAGGUGCCGCGCCGCGCGAGCGCCGGGGAGGGGUGCUCUCGCGGUCGCCUCCCCUAGAGACCCUGGACUGGGGACCGCGGAUAAUGGGCCGGGAGUGGGGCUCCCCCGCCGGUCGCCUGGACUCUCUUUUUCUCUUUGCUAGGGCGGGGCCUGCGAAGAGCUCCCAUCUGGACGUGUAAAUAUCUGCUUUCCAAGUAAACAGAACGCUGGGGGGAACCGAGGAGAGGGGCGUGGCUCAAGUGGGAAGGGCUUUGCUGCCCGGAAAUCUGCAUUAGGUUGAGAGGUCAACGUUCAGCAGUCCCCAGUAAAGUGGCCUAAUCUGUGACAUUUUCAUCUGCCCUGCCCUAGGCUUCCCUUGACCAACGGAAGUGUAAUGCCUGACUCACGUAA